AUGGCGAUUGUGCUGGAUGCGUUUGCUUCCUACCUCGUGGACAUGCUCGCGCAGGUAGCAGCUGAUGAAGUGGGGACUAUGCUGGGCGUCUCCGGUGAGAUUGACAAGAUGGGCGACAGGCUCCGAGACCUCAAGAACAUCCUCGCUCACGCCGAUAGGAGGAACAUCACUGACGAGACUGUCCGAGAGUGGGUGGGGCAUCUCAAGCGUGCCAUGUACGAAGCUACUGACAUCCUCGACCUGUGCCAGCUUAAGGCCAUGGAGCAUGGAUCAUCCAGUACCAUAGAUGCGGGAUGUCUUAAUCCCUUGCUCUUUUGCAUGCGGAACCCCUUCCAUGCUCAUGAGAUCGGCACCCGCAUCAAGAAGCUCAACCAGAGGCUUGACGACAUCAACACACGGAGUUUUGCUUUCAACUUCAUCAAUAUUUUGUCUUAUGAGGAUCAUAGCAGCAAUGCCCACGCCUCUCGCCAUGGUAAUCCAAGUCGGGAGACGGCAGGGGACUUUGACCGGUCGGCUGUAGUUGGGAACAAGAUCGAAGAAGACACAAGAUCAUUGGUGGCCCAGAUCAUGCAGAAUGGAAAGGAGGUCAAUGAUGACAUCAUGGUGAUUGCCAUCGUAGGUGUUGGUGGCAUUGGCAAGACCACCCUUGCCCAGAAGGUCUUCAAUGACGAGGCCAUCCAAGGUGGGUUCAGUAAAAAGAUAUGGUUGAGCGUCAAUCAAAAUUUCAGUGAGGUUGAGCUGCUGAGAAGAGCCAUCAUCGGUGCCGAUGGAAAUGCCCAGCUGGCUGGAAAUGCAAAGGACGCUCUUCACCGUGCCCUAAUGCAUGCCUUGAAGGACCACAAGACAUUGCUGGUAAUGGAUGAUGUGUGGAACAAUGGAGCCUGGGAGUGUGUGCUCAAAAUACCCUUAGUCAAUGUCGUCGCUUCAGGUAGCUGGGUCCUCAUCACCACUAGAGAUGAAUGCGUUGCCCGAGGGAUGACAGCAACAUGGCCCUACCACUACGUCGACACGUUAGCGCCUGAGGACGCCUGGUCAUUGCUCAAGAAGCAGGUAAUCUCAAGCGAGAUAAAUGAAGGCCACAUCAACAAGCUAAAAGAUAUUGGAUUGAAAAUUAUACAAAAAUGUGGUGGUUUACCACUUGCGGUCAAAGUAAUGGGAGGACUCUUGCGUAAAAGGGAGGUGCUACGUCGUGACUGGGAGCAGGUUUUUAAUGAUUCUAAAUGGUCAAGAACUAAAAUGCCCCAAGAGCUCAACCAUGCAGUAUACUUGAGCUAUGAAGAUAUGCCUACUUAUCUGAAGCAGUGCUUUCUAUACUACUCUAUUCUUCCUAAAAAUAAAAAGUUUAAUGUGCAUCAAGUUGUUGCCAUGUGGAUUAGCGAAGGAUUUGUUCAUGGAAACUCUAAUGAUUUAGAAGAAUUGGGAGGAAAUUACUACAAGGAGUUGAUAUCUAGGAACCUUACAAAGCCAGAUAAAUUUGAUGUUAAUCAAUCAUGUUGCAAUAUGCAUGAUAUUGUUCGCUCAUUUGCUCAAUAUAUGACUAAAGAUGAAGCACUCGUAGCUCAAGACGGAGACAAUGUUAAUCUUAUUAAACUUCAUUCAGAAAAGUUUCUUCGGUUGUCUAUAGCAACCGAUCAACUACAAUCAGGUGAACUUGACUGGACAUCUUUACAGAAGUACCAAUCAGUGAGAACACUAAUCUCAACUAUUCAGAUCAAGAUAAAGCCCGGUGAUUCAUUGCUUGCUUUUUCUGGUUUGCGGACUCUACAUAUAGAAUUUGCAGAUGUGGCUGCAUUGGUUGAAUCACUGCAUCAACUCAAGCACCUGAGAUAUUUGGCACUACUUGAUACUGAUAUAUCUGUACUUCCAGGGAACAUUGGCAAGAUGAAAUUAUUGCAAUUCCUUAACCUUGGUGGAUGUGAAAAUUUGAUCAAUCUUCCUCAUAGCAUUGUGAAGCUUGGCCUGAGGUUACUCAAUCUUCCGCACGUGAGUAUGAUACCUAGAGGGUUCUGUGAGCUCACAAGUAUGAGGAGAUUAGAUGGGUUUCGAGCCCACAUGGAUGGUGAUUGGUGCAGUUUGAAUGAGUUGGGGCCUCUUUCCCAACUGAGAUUUCUUGGAUUAAUUCAAUUGGAAAAUGUAUCCACUGCCUCGUUUGCUGCCAAUGCUAGGCUUAGUGAGAAGAUGCAUCUUAUUGACCUUGUUUUGGUCUGCACCAGUAGACUAGGAGAUGAUGGAUUGGUCAAAGGGAAAGAAGGUGUUUCUGAGGAAGAGAAGCGACGAAUCAAGAAUGUGUUUGAUGAGCUCCGCCCUCCACCAAGUGUAGAAAAUCUUGUUGUCGAUGGGUAUUUUGGCCUGCAACUCCUGAGUUGGAUGAUGUCCACAUCGAUGGUGCCCCUCACCAACUUGAAGAAUCUAAUGUUUGAUGGCCUGGCUUGUUGCACCCAACUUCCCAAUGGGUUGUGUCAGCUCCCCUAUCUGCAGUCUACCGUGCUCCAUGCAUCAAGAUUGUUGGAAAUGCAUUCCUGCUGGCGGUAA
rnacentral:rRNA from 1 species